GGGAAGGUAGCUUAGUGGUAGAGUGCUUGCCUUGCAUGCAAGAGGCCCUGGGUUUGAUUCCUCAGCACCA
rnacentral:tRNA from 1 species